rnacentral:pre_miRNA from 1 species
ACAUCAAUCACCUAGGGAUCUUGUUAUAAUGCAGAUUUCAAUGUAGCAGGACUGGGGAGAGGCUGAGACUCUGCAUUUCUGACAAACUCCCAAGCUCCCAGG